AUCCAGUUGACGAGUCUUAAAUGGGACGGAACAGGCGUCCUGGAU
rfam:Schistosoma mattheei strain Denwood, Zambia genome assembly, scaffold: SMTD_scaffold0008748